rnacentral:misc_RNA from 1 species
GAUGAAGAACGUAGCGAAAUGCGAUACUUGGUGUGAAUUGCAGAAUCCCGUGAACCAUCGAGUCUUUGAACGCAAGUUGCGCCCGAAGCCACUAGGCCGAGGGCACGCCUGCCUGGGCGUCACACGCCGUUGCCCCCCCAUCUACUCCUUCGGGAUUGCGGGGGGGCGGAUGAUGGCCUCCUGUGCGCCUAGCCGCGCGGUUGGCAUAAAUACCAAGUCCUCGGCGACGCACGCCACGACAAUCGGUGGUUGCGAAACCUCGGUUGCCCGUCGUGUGCGUUCGUCGCGCAUCGAGGGCUCGAAAAAAUGCUCGGCUCCGGCUGGGCUUUCAACGCGACCCCAGGUCAGGCGGGGUUACCCGCUGAAUUUAAGCAUAUCAAUAAGCGGAGA